CUCAAGUUGAUAAUCAUCGGCGUUAAGCGUGAUUAAAGUUUCUACAAAUUAAGGUUAAAUUAAUACUUAGUAGUUUUAAGCUUGUUAUUAAGAAGAACACACACGAAAGUUACCCUAAUUAUACUUGAACCCACGACAACUGGGACACAAACUGGGAUUAGAUACCCCACUAUGCCUAGUCGUAAACAAUCAAUUCACACCAACCAGCGCCAGGGAAUUACGAGCCAUGCUUAAAACCCAAAGGACUUGACGGUUUCCCACCCCCCUAGAGGAGCCUGUUCUUUAAUCGAUGACCCCCGCUAUACCUGACCACCCCUCGCUAUCAGUCUGUAUACCUCCGUCGAAAGCUUACCAUAUGAAUGCUUCAGUAAGCCUAAUGACUACCGUCAACACGUCAGGUCAAGGUGCAGCUUAAGGAGUGGGAAGUGAUGGGCUACAAUUUCUAAACUAGAACAAACGAAAGACCAGAUGAAAUCCUGGUCAUGAAGGCGGAUUUAGCAGUAAAAAGAAAAUAGAGUGUUCUUUUUAACAUGGCUCUGGGACGCGUACACACCGCCCGUCACCCUCUUCGACAAUACCCCUAUCUCGUUCCUAACCCUUUUUUCUCAUCUUAGAAGAGGCAAGUCGUAACAUGGUAAGUGUACUGGAAAGUGCACUUGGUACA
rnacentral:rRNA from 1 species